UACGAAGGGUGCAAGCGUUACUCGGAAUUACUGGGCGUAAAGCGUGCGUAGGUGGUUCGUUAAGUCUGAUGUGAAAGCCCUGGGCUCAACCUGGGAAUGGCAUUGGAAACUGGCGACCUAGAGUGCGGUAGAGGGCAGUGGAAUUCCCGGUGUAGCAGUGAAAUGCGUAGAGAUCGGGAGGAACAUCUGUGGCGAAGGCGACUGCCUGGACCAGCACUGACACUGAGGCACGAAAGCGUGGGGAGCAAACAGG
rnacentral:rRNA from 1 species